UGUGUGGUUAUUAAUACACAGUCUGGCCUGCCCCCUGAAAAUUUUAAAGGGCCGCGGUAUUUAAACCGUGCUAAGGUAGCAUAAUAAAUAGUCUUUUAAUUGAGGUCUAGUAUGAAUGGUCGUACAGGAAGUAAGCUAUUUUAAUUAUAAAUUUUGAAUUUUACUUUUAAGUGAAAAGGCUUAAAUUUAAUAAUGGGACGAUAAGACCCUAUAAAGCUUUACAUUUUAUUUAUUGGCUGAGCGAUUUAAGGUUUUUUAUUUUUAUUAAGUAAAAUGUUUCAUUGGGGCGAUGAGAAUAUAAAAUAUUAACUGUUUUUUUUUUAAAAUAGCAUUUUUUAGGAGAGUUGAUCCUUUUUAGAGAUUACAAGAAUUAAGUUACUUUAGGGAUAACAGCGUAAUUUUUCUUGAGAGUCCAUAUCGACAGAAAUAGUUGCGACCUCGAUGUUGAAUUAAGAUACCCUUAAGGUGUAGCAGUUUUGGUGGUAGGUCUGUUCGACCUUUAAAAUCUUACAUGAUUUGAGUUCAGACCGGCGUG
rnacentral:rRNA from 1 species